GAUUAACGCUAGCGGCAGGCCUAAUACAUGCAAGUCGAACGGGAUUCAAAGUAGCAAUAUUUUGAUGAGAGUGGCGCACGGGUGAGUAACACGUAUGCAAUUUACCUUUAACUGGGGGAUAGCCCUCCGAAAGGAGGAUUAAUACCGCAUAAUAUAUUGAAAUGGCAUCAUUUUAAUAUUAAACCUACGGGGGUUAAAGAUGAGCAUGCAUCCGAUUAGCUAGUUGGUGUGGUAACGGCUCACCAAGGCAACGAUCGGUAGGGGGUCUGAGAGGAUGAUCCCCCACACUGGUACUGAGACACGGACCAGACUCCUACGGGAGGCAGCAGUAAGGAAUAUUGGACAAUGGAGGCAACUCUGAUCCAGCCAUGCCGCGUGAAGGAUUAAGGCCCUAUGGGUUGUAAACUUCCUUUAGACGGGACAAAACCCCUUUACGUGUAAAGGGUUGAUGGUACUGUCAGAAUAAGCAUCGGCUAACUUCGUGCCAGCAGCCGCGGUAAAUCUCG
rnacentral:rRNA from 1 species